rnacentral:rRNA from 1 species
GACGAACGCUGGCGGCGUGCUUAACACAUGCAAGUCGAACGGAAAGGCCCUGCUUUUGUGGGGUGCUCGAGUGGCGAACGGGUGAGUAACACGUGAGUAACCUGCCCUUGACUUUGGGAUAACUUCAGGAAACUGGGGCUAAUACCGGCUAGGAGCUCCUGCUGCAUGGUGGGGGUUGGAAAGUUUCGGCGGUUGGGGAUGGACUCGCGGCUUAUCAGCUUGUUGGUGGGGUAGUGGCUUACCAAGGCUUUGACGGGUAGCCGGCCUGAGAGGGUGACCGGCCACAUUGGGACGGAGAGACGGCCCAGACUCAUACGGGAGGCAGGAGGGGGGAAGAUUGCACAAUGGGCGGAAGCCUGAUGCAGCAACGCCGGGUGCGGGAUGACGGCCUUCGGGUUGGAAACCACUUUCGCCUGUGACGAAGCGUGAGUGACGGUAAUGGGUAAAGAAGCACCGGCUAACUACGU